GCGUGCACCACCAUGCCUGGUUAAUUUUUGUAAUUUUAGUAGAAAUGGGGUUUCACCAUAUUGGUCAGGCUGGUCUCAAACUCCUGACCUCAGGUGAUCCACCUGCCUUGGCCUCCCAAAGUGCUGGGAUUACAGGCAUGAGCCACUGCACCUGGCCACAUUUUAUAUUCUUUAGAAAUUAGUAAAUGCCUGCAGUAUGAUGGUUUAGAUUUUUUUUACCCUAAAGAUAAAGCAUAUGAUUUAUUCUUCUUCAGAAAUAAUAACAUGGUUCUUUUAUCCUUCUGCUUUUAGUUCAUUUCUAAAGACGGUUUUCUGUAGUAACUCUUAUUUGAUUGACAUCAUUUCUUUCAUUUCAGACCUUCAUGGAGGAAAUGACCAGAAAACAGCCUGAUGUUGAUAAAGUAACGAAGACCUAUAAGAGGAGAGCUGCUGAUCCUUCCUCAUUACAAUCCCAUAUUCCAGUCUUGGAUAAGGGACGAGCAGGAAGAAAACGCUUUCCAGCAUCAAGCUUGUAUCCCUCUGGGUCACAGACACAAAUUGAAACCAAAAAUCCUAGGGUAAA
rnacentral:lncRNA from 10 species